rnacentral:rRNA from 1 species
AAAGGUAAGCUACUAAGAGCGAAUGGUGGAUGCCUUGACUGGUAAAGGCGAUGAAGGACGUACUAGACUGCGAUAAGCUACGGGGAGCUGUCAAGAAGCUUUGAUCCGUAGAUUUCCGAAUGGGACAACCCAAUGUAUAGAGAUAUACAUUACCUAUAUAGGAGCGAACGAGGGGAAUUGAAACAUCUUAGUACCCUCAGGAAAAGAAAUCAAUAGAGAUUGCGUCAGUAGCGGCGAGCGAAAGCGCAAGAGGGCAAACCCAGUGCUUGCACUGGGGGUUGUAGGACUGCAAUGUGCAAGAGCUGAGUUUAGCAGAACAUUCUGGAAAGUAUAGCCAUAGAGGGUGAUAGUCCCGUAUGCGAAAAACAAAGCUUAGCUAGCAGUAUCCUGAGUAGGGCGGGACACGAGGAAUCCUGUCUGAAUCCGGGUCGACCACGAUCCAACCCUAAAUACUAAUACCAGAUCGAUAGUGCACAAGUACCGUGAGGGAAAGGUGAAAAGAACUGAGGUGAUCAGAGUGAAAUAGAACCUGA